AGUAAUGUCUGGGAAACUGCCUGAUGGAGGGGGAUAACUACUGGAAACGGUAGCUAAUACCGCAUAACGUCUUCGGAUCAAAGUGGGGGACCUUCGGGCCUCACGCCAUCGGAUGUGCCCAGAUGGGAUUAGCUAGUAGGUGGGGUAAUGGCUCACCUAGGCGACGAUCCCUAGCUGGUCUGAGAGGAUGACCAGCCACACUGGAACUGAGACACGGUCCAG
rnacentral:rRNA from 1 species